AUGUGUGGGGGUCUUGGUAUCCAGAUGAGAGGGAAAAGCUCCUUUCCGGCCAUGAUUCUUCCCGACUCAGUUCGCGGAUGGCAGUCGACCUGGUUUUACUGUAAAGACCAGUCGAUGCCAGGGCAGUCGACUGGCCUCCCUCCCUUUACCAUGGACCAAGUGAGGAAACCAUCCCCUUUGAAGGUGCUCCCGGAGGAGAAAGCGCAGGUGAGGAUGCUGGUUGAGCGAGUGGUCCAGCUUAUCCGUGACGGGGUCACUGGCAUGGAUCUCCUGGAGGUCUUCCUUCAGCGGCGCAUCCAGCCUCUUCAAGCUCGAGACCAUCCGAUGUGGAUGUAUUCGGGUCUUGAAGACUCCACUCGGAUUCACCCGGAGGAGGUCGAUGAUGACACACUGGAGAAGUGGCUGUCGGGCAUGACCAGAAACAAGGACAACCCCAGGGGAGCCAGGAGAGUUCCUCCAUUUGACCAGUCUCAUGUACCAGAGAAGGCCAUUAUUGAAAUGUAUUCAAUGCCCAACGGAGAACAGGAGCAGGACCCGGAAGGAGAGGCGAGCGGCGGCGACAGUGGCGAGUGGGAGUCUAGCGGUGGAGGGGACGAAGAAAGCGAUGACCCGAGUGACGAAGAAGAAGUCGAGUCGCCUCCUCGCAGGGAGAGGCGGUCCAAACUUGACCAAGAACGGCUGAGCGCUCGUGAAAAGGCGAUUGCUCAAGCUGGUCAGUCUUCAAAGCGUCCUCGGACCUCUUCGCCAACUCCGACUGAGAAAGCGCCAAAGAAUCCCAAAGUCACAGAGCCGAAGCUUCGGAAGGCGUUGCCGAAGAUUAAGAUUGACAUCCCCGUCGCUUCUGCCGCUGCUACUUCCGGGACCUCAGCUUACAGGGACGAUGAUGAGGUGAUGGAGGAUGCGGUCACUUCUAAUCUGGCCCUAACGUUAUUGACCUCCCUGAUGAUGAUGAAGAGCCCGAGAGGCCUUUAA
rnacentral:rRNA from 1 species